UGGAAGUCCACUUCCUCGAUAUGGGUUGGUUAAUUCCUGAAGACCAUCAAUCAUCGCAGCUCAGAGGACACUUUCCCAUUCCCACACCCACCACGGCGCCUAUUUAUCCGUGGAUUGAG
rnacentral:sRNA from 1 species